AGUUGGAAGCCCAGUAAUGCUCGUGGAGGUCACGGAAGACCUGGAAUCAGCCUCCCCAUUUCUCUGGUCGACAGCAGGAGACCCUGUGGGUCCCAUCGGGGCUGAUAGUUGAUGCCGAAGCCCCUUUCCUCCCAUGAAAUCUUCCAGGGUUGAUGAGGAUUUUUGCUGAGGCAAAUCCCAUAUCGAUGGUGGUAAAAAUCAUUUGGGAGGCAUAUGUCAGGGGCUGGAGUUCUGGUCUUGGUUCUGUCUCCAAAUAGGUAGUCAUGAGAAAGCAGAAUGAAGAGCCAGAAAUAGGUUCCAGCCCACUCCCAUCCAGAGCUUUGGUGUAUCAGGUGUUACUGGUAGAAUAUAGGUAACACAAGAGUGUGGACUUAUACCUGUUCUGUUCAUUUCUAUGUCCCUAGAACUUGCCUCAUAGUAAGCCUUCAAUUCAUGUUUUCCAAUGAAUGAUUGCAUCACUAUUAUUUAAAUUUUAAAAUUUAACAAAAUUUCCUGCACUAAUACCUGUAGGUUUUUAUUCUAGAAAAUGUUCAAUGUUUGAUGUUGUACAACAAAUAAUGUAAAAAAAGGGAGGGGAUGAUGAUGGUGGGAGAGGCAGCCAGAAAGACAUUUAUGUAACCAAUGGGGAAAGUAUAAAAAAAAGUAUUUUAAAACAUCUCUUAGAACUUGUGCUACUAUUACAAGUUUGGCUAAAUGGCUGUAGUUGCCAGGGGUUGGGAGGAGGCAGAGAUGAAUAGACAGAUCACAGAGUUUUAGGGCAAGAAAACUACCCUUAAUGAUAACACAGUGGUGGAUACACACCGUAAUACAUCUCAAAACCCAGAACAUAUGCAACACCAAGAGUGAACCCUGAAGGAAACUGUGAACUUUGGGUGACAAUGACAUGACAUGCAGAUUCAUCGCUUGUAACAAAUGUAUCACUCAGAUGCUGGAUGUAGAUAGUGGGGAAGGUUGUCUGUGUGGUGACAGGGGUAUUUGAGAAAUCUUCGUAUCUUCUGCCCAAGUUUGUUGUGAACCUAAAACUGCUCUAAAAAAUAAAGUUUAUUAAAAAAGGGAGUUAGCCUAAUGGUAACUUCUAGUGUAUCUUCCAUUGAGCAUUAGAAAAUAAAACCACUUCCCCUGGAAAAUUAAUAAACGAUGUCUCUUUUGCUUUCCAUCUUUGGCACCAUGGCUUAAGCAUUUCAGCUACAAUGGAAAAAAUUGUUACUUUUAUUUUCCCAGAAAUUAUGAGUUUCAUUUUAUAAUAAAUGCAUAAAAAGUAUAUGAAACUAUAGUGCUUUUUUUACUGCAUAAAUCCAGCAAUGAAUUAAAUAUAUUAGUUCACUUCAUAAACAGUAAUUUAGAACCCAGAUUACCCAGGGUAACAUGCCAGGUAUUCUAACAAAUGUACAGAUUUUUUUUUUUAAUGAUAACCUGCUUCAUUUCUGAGGGAUCUUGCCUUUUUCAGAUAUUUAUAUAUUUUUCAUUUGUUCCUCACAGCCCUGGGUAGUCAACAGGGAAAGAUUUUUUAAAAUUUUAUUAGAUUAUAGCUGAUUUACAAAGUUGUGUUAAUUUCAGAUGUACAGCAAGGUAAAUUAGUUGUACAUAGACAUAUAUCUGUUCCUUUCAGAUUCUUUUCCCAUAUAGGUUACCACACAAUACUGAGUACAUUUUUCUGAGCUAUACAGUAGGGCCCCUUAGCCAUCUAGUCUAUAUAUAGUAGUGGGUAUAUAUCAAUCCCAACCCUGUAAUUUAUCCCCCCCAUGUUGCCCCUUUGGUAAACAUAAAUUUGAUUUUGAAAUGUUGAGUCUGUUUCUCUUUUUUAAAUUCUAUUGCGUCAUUUCAAUUACAUUCCACAUAUUAGUGAUCUUAUAUGAUAAUUGGCUUUCUCUGCCUGACUUACUUCACAUAGUAUGAUAAUUUCUAAGUCCAUUCAUGUUGUCGCAAAUGGCAUUAUUUUAUCUUUUUAUGGCUGAGUACUAUUCCACUGUAUAUAUGUACUACAUCUUCUUUAUCCAUUCCUCUAUCGAAGGACCUUUUGGUUGCAUCCAUGACUUGUCUAUUGUAAAUAGUGCUGUGAUGAACACUGGGGUGCAUGCAUCUUUUCUAAUUAUGGUUUUCUCUGGAUAAUCCCAGGGGUGGGAUUGCUGGAUCAUAUGGUAGUUCUAUAUGUUUUUUGAGGAAACUCCAUAGUGUUCUUCAGCUUACAUUCUCACUAAAAGUGUAGGAGGGUUCCUUUUUCUCCACACCCUCUCCAGCAUUUUCAACAGGGAAGAUCUUAAACUUCCACUCAAGAAGUUUCUAUUAAUUGGAAAAAUUAUAUAUUUUUUCACAAUAAUGUAGUUAAAGCAAAAGAGAAAUUUAAAAUGAAAACAAUUUCCUUGUACCCAAUUAUCUUAAUAAAAUAGUUUUAAUAAUUUUUUUUUUUUUUUUUUUUUUUUUUUACUUUUCGGACUGUUCAUAUAUGAAGAGUAAUCACUACUGGGUCAGAGUUGGUAUUCAGAAAAAUAAUUUAUUUACCAAAGUUAAAAAAAAAAAGACCAAAAGUACGUACUAGAGGUAAAAUGUGUUACUAGUAAAUUUGGGAAGAGGUACCAGAGUCAGUAGAACCUUAUCAAUUAAUCAAACACGGGAACAGAUCUUGUAAGAACACAGUCGUUAAAAUAACCAGCUAAAGUCUUUGGAAAGAAUGAAUAUUGGAUGCCUGAGGUUGAUGGCCACGGAGAGAGGAUUUCCCUUGUUAAUGCUUCCUUUACAAACCUCUACCUUACAAAAGGAGCAAAUAGGAGAAAAAGGAGGACUCUAAGUGGUGCCCUGGAGAAAGCCCAGGAGGAGCUUGGGAGGGGUUGGCAUAGUGGGAGAUGAGCUCAGGCGCAUGCGCUUGGAGGUGAGGGUGCGCAAAAGCCUCUGAGGACAGCAGUGUCUUCCACUGCUUUCCGUGGGAGUCACCGGGAUUCUCAGGCGUGGGGUUGCACGUCCACCCUCUGUCCUCUUCUGUUGGCCUGGCUGUCAGAGAGACAUCUUGGAACGGUUAACACUGUUAAGUGGUAUUGGAGAAAAUGUGGUCUCUAACUAGUCUCCCCACAGCCACUCCAGUUCCUCUCACCUAAUCUUGUUUCCCACACUGCAAUACCCGGUAUUUUAAAAAAUCCUGAUUUCACUGCCGCAUUGCUCUGAGGUUAAAGAAAAGACUCCUUAUCGUGGCUCCAAGGCCGUGCAUCAUCUGGCCCUCGCUUCCUCUUUUCCUGUGUUCUUGCCUGCUCUCCCUUGCUGUCUGCACCCCAGGCUGCCUGCCUUCCUGCCAUUUCUCACCGGGUUCCAGCCUCCCUCCCUCAGUCUGGAAUACACACUCCCUUCCUCACGUCCACACUGCCUGGGAUCCUUCUAGCAUGGCCCAUCUCGCCCCCCAAGUGUUAUUUCCUUGGAAAAACUUUCUUGAGCCAGCAAUCUAGUUCAGGUUCCUUUGCUGCACGUUGAUCUGAGCGGACACUUUUCUUCUUGCAUGGCAUUUAUUUCCUUUAUAUUCUCAAUAGACUCUAAACUAAGUCUCCAAAAGCCAAAGCUCUUGUUAUUUCCCAUUAUAUUUCCAGACAUCAUCACCUCGCCUGAAACUCAGUCACUGUUUAUUAAACGAAUAAAUGAACUGCAUUUCCAGUUCAAAGGGGAUCAUGCUUUUCUUAUGUUUAAGUCCUUUAGAUAAUCUUCCAUUGUGGUGAGGAGAGCAUUCAGAUUCCUAACAUGGCUUGUACUCACCUCACGCUAUGCUUCCUGGUCAGUCCCCAACCUUACCUUAACUCAAUCUCCUUGUACCAGUGUUUACUGAACACUGGAAUGUACCACACAGGGCCGGUGAGAGGGUUUAACUGUGAACAGGACAGACACUGUGCGGACGCUUAUGGAGCUUAUGGUCUAGGACAGACAUUAAAUGAUGAUUUUUGAUGAACCAAAUGUCAAUAAAUUAUAAAAAUACAUCCUCUUCCAUUCUUUAUGUGCCGGCUGAGAUCCCUGGGAGAAUUCCUAAAGAUGUGGGGACCUAUAUUUUGGAAACUUGGCUAUUUUCAUCUUGUUUAUUUUUUAAUUAUUUUCAUUUUGGUCUCCAUGAGCAUUUAAUGAAGCUCUCUUUGAAAAUGCCAGCUGUUCUGAAAUGCACGGUGAGGAACCAAGGAAGGCUGUGCUUUGUGUUGUUAAAAGUCUCUCAAGGUCAUAGAACCAUGGACAUGCUAACGGUAGAAGAGCAAUCCAGUAAUUUUGGUCAAAUUUCCAAUGACUAGGUGGCUUACAUUCUACCUACAUAUAGGGCCCCACCCAUGGCAUAUGAAAAAGAAUCUGAAAAGGAAUCUAUCAUCUAUCUAUCUAUCCAUCUAUCUAGAUAUAACGGAAUCAUUUUGUACACCUGAAACUAAUUCAACAUUGUAAAUUAACUACACUUCAAUAAUAAACUAAAUAAAGUGUUUGUAAUCUGGCACAUAUGAGUAU
rnacentral:lncRNA from 1 species